rnacentral:rRNA from 1 species
CCUACGGGAGGCAGCAGUGGGGAAUAUUGGGCAAUGGGCGCAAGCCUGACCCAGCAACGCCGCGUGAAGGAAGAAGGCUUUCGGGUUGUAAACUUCUUUUAUCAGGGACGAAGCAAGUGACGGUACCUGAUGAAUAAGCCACGGCUAACUACGUGCCAGCAGCCGCGGUAAUACGUAGGUGGCAAGCGUUAACCGGAUUUACGGGGUGUAAAGGGCGUGUAGGCGGGAAAGCAAGUCAGAUGUGAAAACCAUGGGCUCAACCUGUGGCCUGCAUUUGAAACUGUUUUUCUUGAGUACUGGAGGGGCAGACGGAAUUCCUAGUGUAGCGGUGAAAUGCGUAGAUAUUAGGAGGAACACCAGUGGCGAAGGCGAUCUGCUGGACAGCAACUGACGCUGAGGCGCGAAAGCGUGGGGAGCAAACAGGAUUAGAUACCCGUGUAGUC